rnacentral:lncRNA from 1 species
AUAGAAAAGAGUUAUUUUAUUCAGAAAAGGAGUAACAUUCUAAAACCUCUACAAAACCAGUCACAUUUGCGUACAUUAUUAUUACUCUUUUUAUUACUAUUUAACUUCCUUUUACAGUAGAGGUUCACUGGGUAAGCUCUUAAGCAUCAGCCUUCCUUGGCCCUCCGUAGCUAGCUGGGCCACUGCUGUGCGUCAAAGUGGUCUCGAUCGUGUUGAACUUAACCCUUCUUGCUUCUUCGAGUGAGAUUUGGUACCCAUUGGAUAUGACCUCUAAUGGUAAACCUCUCAAGACCGAGGUUCGUCCAGCAAGUGUGUUGAUCUGUGCGUUUGCGUUUGUCUUGAACUCGAUCCACCGGAACUGUUCGCUUGUUGCGCGUUUCACCACGGAGAAACCUUGUGGUAUGGAAAGUAGCUGUCCUUGAGAGACUUGUCCGUCGAACACUCUGUCACCGUUGUCGUUAACCACCUGCACAUGGGCUUCCCCGUCUGUCACGUAGAGAACCGCGUUUGCGUUUGCGUUCCACUGUGGAAGCACCAUCGCGUUCUACAUCCAAUAAAUGUUUCAAUAGUCAUGUUUAUAGCGAACCGGAAACAGAAACCAAACCGAGAUGGUUAUAGAAUUAAUACGGCACGUGCCAAACCGAUAAGCAUAAUAAUGCUAACCAAACUUUCAAAUGUUAAUUCCUAUUAAAAUGCAUAUGUACUUACUUGACGGAUAGAUCCACGGAGGGCUGAGAGACGAAGGAAGCGAAGGAUGGGGAGAUCAUAGCUGUUCAGAGUGCUGAUGUAACCGAGCUGUGGCUUGUAUACGUCAGCAUUAGAUGGGUCAUCGAGGUUAUCGGUGCACCUCGCGCUGCAUAUGGUCUCUUCUAAACCGUUAACUUCCUCCUGCGGUCUCUGACUCCUCAAAGGCGGCCUAAUGACACUGAAUGGGCCUUGGACUCGGAUAAUGUUUCCACGGUUGUCUUGCUGGUUCUGAAGUUGUUGCGCUGUCCUAACAUCGAUCUUGAAAGCUUUAGCAAGAACCUCUGGUGUGAAGCCAUUAAGGAUGUUCUUUUGUGGCUGUUGCUCGCGUCCUUCUAUCCAUACUUGGCCUUGUGGGUUGUUUCCGGCUAAGUAAAAUGGCUACAGAUAAAACAGAAAACCAUAUUUUUGAUAUUCUGUAAUUAUAAAAGAAGUUAUAUGAUGAGAAAAAGACAAAAAUAGCACUAAAUCAAGUUUAUGUUCUCAAACUAGCACCCAAGGUCAAAAGUCACAAAAAUAGCACUUAAUGUUUUAUCAAAAGUCACAAACUUAGGGUUUAGAGUUAAAGGCUGGGGUUUAGGAUUUAGGGUUUAGGGUUUAGGGUUUGGGGUUUAGGGUUUAAGGUUUAGAUUUUAGGGUUUAUGGUUUAGGGUUUAGAGUUGAGAAAUGAGGUUUUGGGGAUAAGAUUUCAAAUUUUGAAAAAUAAAAAAAUUAAAAUUUUCAAAGGAUAAACUUAGAAAAGUAUCAUUUUGGUCAUUUUAGUCAUUUUAGUUUUUGAUUGCUAUUUUUGUGAUAUAAAUUUAGAAAUAUGCUAUUUUGGAGAUUUGCCCUUGAUUGCUUUUGAGGUUUUUGUUUAUUUAUAUACCCUUGGGUUGCGGUCGAGCUGAUUCUGGUGGCUGGCUAAAUCGAGGACGGAAACGAUGACAAGUGGUUGGUUUCCGUCGUUGUAGAACCAUUGGGCUACACCGGGAUGUGUAGCGAUGGUGUCCCCAGUCCUUAUGUGCUCCACUUUCUGGUGCAUAUCACGGAAGCCCUGGCCUUGACUCUGUUGUCCUUGCUGACCUUGUUGGCCCUGUUGUCCCUGGCCUUGACCCUGGUGGCCUUGGCCCUGACCUUGUUGUCCCUGGCCCUGACCUUCUCCGAAGGGGCUACCACCGCCUGGUUGAAACACUGAUGAGUCCUGGAAUGUCUCGGCGCAUCCAGGGACCACUCUCCCCAUAAGACCUUCUCCUAUAAUGUAACAAACCAAAAAAAAAAAAUUUAGUGCGCAGUUCUGUGAACAUCGACCAUAUAUUUAGGUUAUAAAUUAAACAAAAAAAUAUUAUAAUGUAUUUGAUCAAAACCUUAGCACGUGUAUAGUGAUAUACUUACUACAACACUUUUCUCAAAAGACUGAACCUUAAAGAUCACGAAUUUGAAUCUCGAUACUCAUAUAGUAUCAAAAUCAGAUUCACGUACCUUUAGCCACGAAGGAGAGCUUCGCGGUGCUAAAGAAAGAGGGCAAGUAGAGACCCUUAGACUCGAUGAUGUAACGUACAAAGGAGACACCAGAGCAACGUAGCUGAGGAGCGUGGUGGUCCCACACCUCGAUGCGACCAGCCUCAGCCUUAAGUACGUGUGACGGCUCCAGUGCAUUGAGCUGGUCUAGCUGACACUCGUUUGGAAACUGUUGAGCUGUAGAGCCAUGGAGAAAGAUCAAAAGUGCUAAGGAAAAAGAGAGAAGAGAUGAGAGCCGAGCCAUUUUCUCUUUACUUAGUUGUUGUGGUUUUUCUGGUCUUACAGCUGCGUUAGAUGAAGCUAUUUAUAGUGAACUUAUUUGUAUAGAUGUUGAUAAAUUUUUUUGAGGAUAAAUUGAAUGAGAUAAGAACCAGGUAUAUAGAGUCGACUAUGUACAAUCUACACUUCAUUUGAGUUGCUAUCUUUAUGUCUUCUUCUGAAAAUUUAAUUUGGCUUCACAUUGUAAGAAAACACAUAUUAACGAAGGGAGUUUGACACAUCUCAAUUUGCAUGGCUUAUUGAACUGCAUGUCUUUACACAUCAACUUUGAGAUAGGCAUAUGUAAUAGGACAAAAUAUAUAUUUCUUGUAUAUAUAUACUGAUUUGUUUGUCAAGAUAUAUAUAAAAAUUGUAUUAUUCUUUACAUUUGAUCAGUAUAACAAAUUUACAAUAACAUCACUAUAGCAAUUACGUUUGAAACGAACUGCUCCUGCAACUUGGUUAAGAUGAUAGUUUUACUAAUGUUGGUAAUAAACAAAGAUUUCUAGUAAUAUUGUUAGACAAAAAAAUAUGCAAUAAGAUUGCAAAUUUGAUCUAGACAUGUUUUGAUUAGAUCGUAGUAUAACGGAUUAACGGUCACACUCGAAUUUAGGCAUGGGCAUAUAAAAUCCGGAACCCGAAAUCCGAACCGAACCCGAACUGAAAAAACCCGUCCGUUAUCCGACCCGAAACGUAAAAAUACCCGAACGGGUCUUGUAGGGUGGUACAAAAAAUAUCCGAACCCGAAGUGUUAUUAACCGAACCCGAACGGAUAACCCGAAAAAUCCGAAAUUAAUAGUCAAUAUAAAUAUUUUGAAAUAUAUAUAAGUAUUCCAAUUAUUAAAUUCAAUAUUUGUGGUAAUAUUAUAUAUAAUAAUAAAUAUUAAAAUUCUAAUAAAUGAUUUAAGUACACAAUUAGUUAUAAAUAAGUAUUUUAUAAUUUGCUCAUUGAAAUAAAAAGUCUACUCUCUAUAAGGCAAUACAUAUUUUUUAUAAAUGAUGUUUGUUUUCAUGCUUGAUUUAACAUUUUAUUGUUAUUUUAUCAAUUUUAUAUGUGAUAGAUUAAUUUUUCUUUAAUUUAGAUGUUUUUCUUUAUCUUUUACUUCAAAAAAUUUGUUUUUUACUUUGGUUAUAUCCGAACCGAACCGAUAUAACCCGAAUCCGUACGAUAUAUGAUUACUUUAUGGGUUUUAUGAUGCAAUACAAUUUUGAACCGAACCCGAUCCGUACUAAUAAAAUUUUAGUAUGGGACCUAGAAGCGUAAACCCGAAAAUUCGAAAACCCAAAAACCCCAAAAAACCUGAUCUGAAUGCCAGCGGGUACCCGAACGCCUAGGCCUACUCGGAGAAAUGUUAAAGUUUCGAAAGACUGAUUAAUCAUGGACAUGCAAAUGAUUAAUGUUAACAAAAAUGGUAACUAUAAGAAGACAAUCGAGAGAAAAGACGUAGCGACACAAAACGACUCUGAGACACACGUGACAUGAGAGAUGUGUCGGACGCGACGAGCCGUGCUUUCAUCAUAUUCCACCGCCAUGACGAGUGUACGGCUGCAUGCUGCUCACAGUCCCUUUGGAAUUUCAUUCCAUUUUUCCAUUUUUCAUAAAUACGAAUUUGUAACUUUUUUUUCUUUUUUUUGCUAACACUUCGAUUACUUCUUUUCCUAAACAUUAUUUUUUUUUUCUUUUUGACAACAACACUUCAAUUACUUUUUCUUAUUCUAACACUUCAAUUACAUUAUAUUUAAUCUUUUGGUCUAACAAUAAAUUGAUCGGAAAAAGGAAACACUACCGUUAGGGUAUCUCCAAUGUGGCUCUAUAAUUUCUUCUAUUAUUUCCACUAAAAUAGAACAACUCUACUAUAGAAUUGGUUUUGUUCCAAUGGUUAACUCUAUAAUAGAGUGGAAUAUAGAAGAAUGCUGUUUUUCUACUCCAAAUAUAGAGUGAACAAAACAACAUUACUUUAUAUUUAACUCUAUUAUAGAGUAACUCUAUUAUAUAGUUAACCACUGGAGCGUGUUUAAAAAAAAAAAAAAAAAAGUUAACCAUUGGAGCAAAACCAACUCUAUAACAGAGUUACUCUAUUUUAAUGGGAAUUAUAGAGGAGAUUACAGAGCACCAUUGGAGAUGGUCUUACAUAUGUACGAAUUUAUAUGAACUUAUUGAUAAUUAUCAAAUAUAUUAACCUGUAAGGGUCUGAGAUGCACGCCCUACAGAUUUCUCUCUCAGGCACUUUGAUCGAGGCAAGCUUGUUUUUCAAAAACUGAGCCACCUCCUCCGUGCUCCACCGCAACUCCACUGCCCUCCAUCCAGUCAACCACCGCACCUGUUUCUCCGGCAUGACAAAUUUUUCUUCCCACAGAUCCUCCUCGUGAAGAUGUCUUGUUUGACGGUGUUAAAAGUGCAAGUUAGAAGCGUAGUUGGAGCAGAUCUGAUUUUUCCUCUGAAAUAAGUUGAAGCUUUUAGAUAUUACCUCUAGCUUGAGGAUACUGGAUGCGACGCCCUCCUUGGUCUCUCAGUAACGUUUUUUCAUCAGUGUUAAACUUUCACUAUCAUUUACCUCGCCUCUGAGGAUUCAAGAAUGGCUAACCGUUACACUAGAUCCGAAAAGGGUAAGUGGGUAGCAGGGUCUUCUAGACUUCCCCAAAAGAUCCGCUACUCCAGUCCGCAGAGCUCCGAUACGGAUCCCCCCGAGCAAUAAUGCGGAACUUAUCGAAGACAACAAGCUCACUCUCUUAGGUCGUGUGACUAAUCCCUUUGUCCAAAAACCUAAAUGGGUUCUGGAUUGGCUUAUCCAGUACUGGAAUCUGGAAACGGCAGUAACAGGAAGAACCCUAGGUCACGACCUUUUUCAAGUCAAGUCCGAAACAGAGGAGGCUCUUCAGUCGGUGAUGAGACGAGCUCCCUUUCAUUACAACCGAUGGAUGAUAAUUCUACAGAGAUGGGAACCGGUUGUUUCAACGGCAUUCCCCAAACGUACCCCCUUUUGGAUCAAAAUCCACGGUCUUCCCCUCCAUUACUGGACAGUGGAAACGUUAUACGCAAUAGCCAAAGGACUAGGUCCGAGGCUUGAUGAUGAUGUUCCCCAAGGUAAACUUCGGAUUGAUGUUGACUGUCUCAGCAACUUGGAAAUGCAGCUUCCGCUAGAGCUGCCAUCAGGAGAUGUCCUAACAGUGGAUUUGGAGUAUGAAAAACUGGAAAAGCAUUGCUUCUACUGCUAUUCCCUCUUCCAUGAGGAAGCCUCUUGUCCCACUAAACCGGCGGCAGUAAGAGGUUCGGCUCAGGCAACGGGAAUCAGUCAACAAAACACUCUGAGAAGCUUAGAAGAGCACAGAAGACGCCAUGACCAACGUCGAACUUCCUCAAACCAGUCUAGAUCCUCGGUUGAGCGGUCAAAAGGAAACCAAGCUGUUUCCCAAUGGUCAACUAACUCCAGGCCACUUCUCUCAGAGCGUCGCCCCCAACCUGCUCAUGCUAGUCAUCAACGUUACCCUGAUAGGGAAGCAGACAAAUAUCACAGUUAUCAUCACCAAAGGUCCCCGCGGAGGGAGUAUCAAGUUCGAUCUCCUCCCCGAACCUAUAAAGACCAUCACAAAUCCAGGGCUCGCUCUUACCAAUCUUAGUAUUCAAGGACUCCACCCCCGUUGCCUGCUCGCGAACCUACGGACUUGCCGGAGAUCCCUGAACGUGGAGAGGUUAACAGUCGUUCCCAUGAACGUCGAUCUACUUUGGAGAGAUUGGAACACCCUUCUCAGAAACCCCAGCGUUCAGGAGGCCUCUACAACUCUUUGCUAGCCAGACUUCAAGACGUGGAGGUCACCUAUGACCAAGAAGAUCUUCGAGUGAAGCUGUCAGAAGGAGGUUCGGGAAAUAAAACUGCCCCUAUAACUCCAAGUGAACCGCCAGGUUCAGGUCAGAGAGUUCAUACUUCUCUUCGGCUAGGGUCCCCUGUUCAGGUUGAUCCAAAGAAAAAGCAGCCGGCCUCGUCAAGUAAAACAGCAGCAGCAGCAAAGAAAGCUCCGACCAAGAGGAAAGCACCCGCAAAAACUACUAUCCCAGCAAAGAGAGCUACAAGGCCAAAGAUUGCUAGGAGCCCGAGACAAAGCACUCGUCUCUCAAAACAACUGACGGCAAGAACCGCGAACCCACUGCGCAAAAAGUUGUGUGUGGAAAAAGACGGAACUGAAGAUAUACCUGGCUCUCAAGUUCAAGCUGCACCAGGCGUGGUGAUCGUACCAGCGGUAAGGAAGGGUAGAACGGAUUUUCGGGAUCCGCAAAACCCGAUUCCUUAGCUCUUGUGUGCUGGAACUGUCAAGGUUUGGGGGGUGAUUUGAUAGUUUCAAGGAUCCGGGAAAUGAAAAGAAUUUUGGCCCCAGAUAUCCUAUUUCUAACGGAGACAAAGAACCAGGAUGCAUUUGUUCUAGCUGAGCUCCAGUUUAUGGGUUACGAUCACCACUUCACCGUCCCACCAGUAGGCCUCAGCGGGGGAUUAGCUCUAUUCUGGAAAGCGGAUUUCUCACUGGACAUCCUUGAAGCAUCGGCGCACUUCAUAGAUGCCAAACUGAAGGUAAAAGCCUUUGUUUUCCAUAUCACCUUUAUUUAUGGAAUGCCGCAACAAGAACAUAGAGCCACUUUUUGGGAGAAGAUUUCCCAGGUAGGAGAGAAUAGGGAAACUGCCUGGUUGUUAUCAAGAGACUUUAACGAUAUUCUAGAAAACAAUGAGAAAGUUGGAGGUCCCGAAAGAUGCGAAGGUUCUUUCAUCCCGUUUUGUAGUUUUGUCUCCCAAAAUGGAUUAUGGGAUGUCAAGCAUAUCGGAAACUCCCUAUCAUGGAGAGGUCAACGCGGUUCCCACUACAUCAGAUCUCGCUUGGACCGUUCUCUUGCAAACUGCGCAUGGUUUGAUAUGUUCCCUGCAGGGCGCUGCGAUUACCUCCGUUUUGAGGGUUCUGAUCAUCGACCGAUUGUCACUUAUUUGGAUACCUCUAAAGUGAAGCGAAAGCGCCUGUUUAGGUAUGAUAGAGGUAUCAAAGAAGAUCCUGAAGCGAGGAAAGUAAUUGAAGAGGCGUGGAAGAAAGAUACCCUGGAACAAGUAGAGUCAAAGAUAAAGAGAUGCCGGAAUGAGCUGAUCAAAUGGUCAAAAGCUAAGAAGGAAAACAGCGCAAAAACAAUUCUAGAGCUCCAGGAGAAGUUGGAGGAGAACCUGUCCUCGGAUUCUCCCUCCAUAGAGUUCAUCCAAGAGCUCUCGCUAGCUUUGUCUAAAGCAUAUAAGGCUGAGGAACUGUUUUGAAGGCAGAGAAAUCGAAUUAUGUGGCUGCAAGGGGGUGAUCGUAACAGUGCCUAUUUUCAUGCAGUCACUAAAGGAAGAAGAUCUUUCAAUUGCCUCACCACCAUAGAAAAUGAAAUGGGAGUUUCUUUUCAUGAGGAAGCAUAAAUUGGUGAGGUGUUUGCAGACUACUACUCAAAGCUUUUCACCUCAAAUGGAGCUCAUAACUUAGAAGCGGUGGAGGAAGCAGUCACAGCAAGAGUGAACUUGGAGAUCAACCAAACCAUCUCAACAAUUCCUAUGGAUGCAGAGAUCCUACUGGCAAUCAAGAGCAUCCAUUCGGAUAAGGCACCAGGGCCAGAUGAGUUCUCGUCGGGAUUCUACCAUUCAUUUUGGGAUUUGAUUGGAGUUGAUAUUUGCAGAGAAGUGCGACAUUUUUUUGAGACAUGAAAGAUGGACAAAAGGAUCAAUGAGACCCAUAUAUGCCUGCUCCCAAAGAUCUUGGGACCGAAAUGCCCCUCGGAGUUCCGUCCCAUUGCUCUCUGCAAUGUACGAUACAAGAUAAUAACAAGGAUCCUAACUCUCCGGCUUCAGAAGUUUCUAGAUACCAUUGUCUCGGUGCAUCAAUCUGCCUUUAUCCCGGGACGUGCGAUCACGGACAACAUCUUGAUUACCCAUGAGACCUUACACUUUUUAAAAGUGUCAAGAGGCAACCAAGCGAUGCUCAAUGGUGGUCAAAACUGACAUGAGCAAAGCCUAUGACCGGAUUGAGUGGGAGUUUCUCGAAAAAGUGCUACAACAAUUCGGUUUUGAAGCAGUAUGGAUCAAUUGGGUAAUGGAGUGUGUCACCACAGUCUCCUAUUCUUACCUGAUUAAUGGGGCGCCUUAUGGGAGCGUCUCUCCGAAGCGAGGACUGCGACAAGGAGACCCGCUAUCCCCUUACCUCUUCAUUCUUUGUAUAGAGGUACUUACGGGCCUGUGUCUCAGGGAGCAACAAUCUGGCAGCUUUAAAGGUCUGAGAGUAGCUCGCAAAAGCCCCCUGGUCAACCACUUGUUUUUUGCUGAUGAUACUGUUUUCUUCAGCAACACCAGUGUAAAAAACUAUACCUCUUUAAUGAGGAUCCUUCAGAGAUAUGAAGCUUGCUCAGGACAAUGCAUAAAUCUCGAAAAAUCUACCAUCUCCUUUUCCUCAAGAACCCCGGAAGCAAUCAUGACUCGAGUAAAAGUUGCAGUUGGGAUUGAUAAGGCGGGAGGAAUGGGAAAGUACCUGGGAUUACCUGAAACGUUUGGCCGCUGCAAGAGAGAUGUGUUCACGGGCUUGGUGGAUAAAAUCCGACAGCGAUCUCACUCUUGGCCAACAAAAUUCCUUUCUGGUGCAGGGAAGCAUGUGCUCCUCCAAACUGUCCUCUCUUCCUUUCCAAACUACUCCAUGUCAGAGUUUCAAAAUCCAAAAAUCCCUAUGCAAGCGCAUACAAUCAGUUCUCACCAGAUUUUGGUGGGAUAGCGCUCCCGAUAAGAAGAAGAUGGCAUGGGUUUCGUGGGACGGAAUGGCUACGCCGAAAUGUAUGGGAGGCUUGGGGUUUAAAAAUUUGGAAUCCUUUAAUGAUGCCCUCCUUGCAAAGCUGGGUUGGAGAAUCAUGAAUCAUCCAGAUGCUUUACUCUCUCAGGUGCUGAAAGGGAAAUACUUUUGGGACUGCUCAUUCCUAGAGAGUUCACCAAAGCAAGCAUCUUCCCAUGGAUGGAUCGGGAUAAUGGCAGGGAAAGCGCUGCUUGAGAAGGGUCUGGGAUUCUUGGUGGGGGAUGGUGAAAAUAUCAAUGUAUGGUCAGAUGCUUGGCUCUCUCCCUCUCAGUCUCUGACGUCGAUAGGACCACCAACCUUUGAAAACCAAAAGCUUAAAGUAAAAGACCUCCUGCUCCCAGACUCUAACGUUUGGAACCUGCCCCAAAUCCGACUCCAUUUACCUCACUAUGAGGAUGUUAUAAGACAGCUGAUUCCUAGUGCUUUGAAACCACCAGAUAGACAGGUCUGGUUUGGAGAAAGCAAUGGCAUUUACUCAACCAAGUCAGGCUACAAGAUGGAAAAUAUCCAAGUUUCAAUUCAAAACCCUCAUGGGUUUGACUGGAUAAAACAUGUCUGGAAGUUGGACUCCCCAUGCAAGAUCCAACACUUCCUCUGGCGAGCUCUGAAUAAUGCUUUCCCUGUGGCUGAGCUUCUGAUCCAUAGAGGAAUGGAAGUAGACCCAUCUUGUAAAGUCCGUGGAGAACUAGAAACCAUUGAUCAUGUUCUCCUACAUUGCUCCUUUGACCAAAGAACUUGGGAAAUGGCCCCAACUCAACUCGUAUCAGGUCAUGCGCUACCUACAAACUCGCUCAAACAGCUGCUCUCUCUUGUACCGAAAGUUCUCAAUCUUCCCCUUUCGGGUUUAACCUGUUCUCCGCUGUCCCCCUGGAUCUUUUGGAACCUUUGGACAGCAAGGAACAAAAGGAUUUUUGAGAACAAAAUCUACUCGGCUGAAGAGACUCUUUCUAAAGCUAUUAGAGAUGCUAAAGAGUGGGAAGGGGCAAAGAAGAAUCCUGCUGUGAUAGAAAAGCCUAGGCAGAACCCUAUGAACCAAUUUGACUCUAUAAUCCCAACUUGUUGUGUUGAUGGUGCAUGGAAGACGGAUUUUAAAUGUGCUGGUUUUGGUUGGUUUAUACAGGAUAAGCAAACUAAGUUGGAGAUUAAAGGGGCGGCAUCACGCUGUCACGUAGCAUCUGCGCUAACAGCUGAAGCUCUCGCUCUCCGGGAAGCACUCCAAGUGGCCUCUAAUGCGGGGCUAACACGCCUCAAGAUCAUGUCGGACUCAAGGGUCCUCCUCUCUGCCCUGCGAUCAGGGACGGUUCUGAAUGAGAUAGCGGGACUUCUCCAUGAAAUUAGUCACCUCAUUUCUCUCUUCUCAACCUUAUCUUUUGUUGUAAUCUCUCGUUCAGUAAAUGCUAUAGCCGAUGGGCUUGCGAAAGCUGUUCUUGCAGCUCUUUGUCUUCAAAACAUUGUAUGAAUGCUUUAGUAUGAAUUAAUCCGUUGACCAAAAAAAAAAUUAACCUGUAAGUAAUCUGACAUGAUUUUUAGUUAUUUAAAAUUUUAUGGACUUUUUGAAACUUUUACAUAAAUCUAUGACAAAUAUCAUUAUCCAAACUUUAUAUUUUCGAUUUGAGUAUCUGGAGAAGUCAGCAGAAUCUUCAUGGUUUCUUUUCUCUUUUAUCAAGAUUUUGUUCUUUGGUUUAGUUUGUAGAUUAGGUGUAUAUCUCAAUUACACUAGAGUUUAAGGCAAUGUGAUUACAAAGUUUGUGUAUUGGUAGUCUUCUUUCCCUCCUCGUGUCGGUUGAACCGCUGGACUCUAUUAUCUCCGUUGAUUACUUUUUUUUUUGACAAAAUGUGAAUUCAUUUCAUAGAAAUGACAUUUAGAUAUAAUAGCUUGGAUCUAAUUUUGCUAGAACUAGCAAAGGCUAUCUAAAAAUCCUCAAAAAAAGAAAAAAAAAGAUCCUUAAAUACAAUGUUAGGCUUAAUCAUGAAACAUGGAGAACAACAUGACAGCAAUUGACUCCCGUAUGACCCAGAGGACACUUUAAUGCUGAAACCUGCAAAAAAAAUUUGAGAUCAAGGGAAAGUUCAGGAGCGAAUGAGAUCCCAGAGGAAUCAGAUGUUUUGACAGGCGAAGGCGGUUAGGCGCCCCGACCAUAACUCCAUCAAGAGUCCGCUCCCUAACAAACCAGAAGAUUGAGAAGGAUGAGGCUGUUGGUCCGAUCCGACAAGAGGAAGAGCAAGCGAUGAAGAACGAGAACUCGUGAACUGCAGGCGGUGGUUUUUGACACUCUACACAGAGAUUGAUGCUUUCCUAUCGACAAAGAGACUUUCCUAUCGACAAAGAGGCAGUACACUUCCACCCCCACCUUCCUGCGAGAGCCUGAAGAACCGGAGCUGGAGCUCCAAACGAACAAGGCGACACGACUGACUGCUGAAACAACACCGUACAAAGGAGAACGAACUGAGCAUGUCCUCGAAGCUCAAAGUCUCCGGUAGACAGCAAACGAGCCAGGAUGACAUAGAAGUGUCACCGAGAUUUGCUGGCAUGUAGAUCUAAAAACAGAGGCCCUCAGCAGAGUGUCUCGAACUCCACCGCUCUCUAAAGAAUGAUCUUUGAGGAGAGGCUCUACAACACCUUGAGUGACUGGAAAACAGAGGAACCGAACAAUAGGAAGGGAGAGGAGCACAUUGGAGGCAGAGACGUUCCAGAUCUGCUCCGCCAAACCUUGAGAAAACGAAUAUGACCCAGAUCCGACAACGGCUCUUUGUUCUACCAAAAAAGUAAGGACACAUUGUCCAAUCUGCUGGUGACCUCCUCGUCUACUCUCUAGAGAGGCUUGGUAUGCACAAAGCUUCCGUUUAGGUCCGUUGAGGCAGAGAUCCAGAGAGUAUAGGAAGAAAGGAGGCGGCGAGAACAGAGGGAUAAAGGGUGAGAGACUGAAGCUUACGCAUAUUGGAAGAGGUGGGAGGUCGACGGCGAAGGCUCGCCGACCGCCAUAGGAGAGAUAAAGUUGACAGCGGGAAUUAGGUUAAAAAGAGAUGAAAGGGAGAGACACUGGAGAGAAUUAUUCUCUCACCUCUCUCUUGGAAAGAUUAUUCUCUCACCUUUUUUCGUUGAUUACUAUUGGAUCUUCUUUUAAUAUAAUAAAAUGAAACAUUUGAGUUAGAACUUACGUGCUUUCAAAACAAGAGGUAGAAUGCUGCAUGUUUGUUUAUUCAUAUUAAUCAAAUACUUUAUAAGAUAUUGUAAAUUUUAUAGAAAAAAGAUUUACAAAAAUUUAAAAUUUUGUAAAAUGGCAUAGUCGAAAAUUCAAAACUUCAUAUAUUAUACCGUUUUAAUAUUUUAAACUGUAUAAAAUUAUAGUUCCUUUCAAAAGAUUAAGUGGAAUAACUUAAUCUGAAAUGCAUACUAAUUAUAUACUCUAUUGAUGGAGUGGGUGACACACUGAAUAUAAUCAGCCUUACUUUCCACUGACAGAGUCGUCGAUCGAUACAUAUUGAACAUAUUCAUCCUUCUUCUUGAACAGUGGAUAUAUCCACAUGAUCUGAUCAAAUUUUAGUUUCCUUAUGGAGUGGUGAGCAAUGUACAGUAUUCACAUUCAAUGAAACUCGAGGAAACAACUCUGCUAAUUCAUCCUGCAAAUCAUACUUGAUAUCUGCAAAAUAAUAACGAGAGAAAACGUUAUACAUAGUUACCAUAACUAAUACAAAUACAUCACAAUACCUUAGAUUACACAUCCAACUAGUUACUAUUGAUAAACAUCUCAGGGUCAAUCUAAUUUUUAACAAAAUAUAAAGUCUAGUACGUUUAUUUUUGAACAAAUAAAGUCUAUUUCAAUCUAACAGGUAUAUAAAACAAUAAACACACAAUCAUAGACAAAAAUUAACAGAACAUAAUGACAGACUCAGAGUACCACAAUUAAUUCUUCUUUUUACCAACCUAGCUAGAUUUGCGAAUUAUAGUUGCAGCUGAUCGUGACUGGUUUUUCUUGUCAUUAGCUUCACUUAGUUGCAUUAUCUUCAUUUGAUUCUCAAGUCCACUUUUCUUGAUGUUCAUUCCCUUAACACUUGUGCUUAAUCCAUGAAAAACAUCAAAGAUUGCUUUAUGAAGCUUCUCAAUGCAGGAGUAAAAUACGUUGACUUACUAACUUCUCGGUUUCAGUCAAUUCCUCUUUCUCUUGAACUUUUAAAUCUUCCUUCUCUUCACCCAACAUGAAUCUCCUUUUUUCAACCCAACCUAAAUGUUUUUUUUUUGUUAAAUUUUGUGGAGGACAAAUCAGGUUUACCACCUACGUAUCUUCUAUCUCAUCCUUCCAUUUAAGUUCUAUAAGACUUGACAGGUUCUCGUUACCAAUAAAAUUAUGGACAGCAACCUAUAAAAUAGAGACAUUUUAUUAAAAGUAUAGUAGAAACAUCUCAAAAUAAUAACAUUUAGUGACAGAAUAUAUGCAUAGACCAAAUUUAAACCUUAUCGAUAAUUUCUUCAAGACCAAUAAGUCAAUUCUUGCUUUAGAUCCCUUCCACUUCAACCUACCGCGUGAGCUUUAACCUUCUUAGCUAUUAACGCAACAUCCUCAUAUCCCCAUAUUUUUUUUUUGUCAAGAAUUUCAUUCAAAAACAAGUCAAAUGACUUGAAAUCACACAAGUUUUGAAACAGAAAAUUGCAAAUAAGACUUCAGUAGAUGCCACAAGG